GGAUAGACAAAACUCGUUCAACGUUGUUCAACAUCUUUCCACGCAUUCCAUAGAAUAUUAGUAAAUUAAUUAAGAUACCAAGUGAAUUAAACCAUAUAAAUAUCGGCUACGACCAGCUAUAGUGUAUCAGCAUAUGUGCUAAGGUAGUACACGAUUUUGCUAUCAGAACCGCUCGAUUUGCGCAUACCCGUAAACUAGAAGUCCAUCCGGCUCAAUUAGUACCCGUAGCGAAGGCCAGUGAGGACACUAAACGAAAAUUAUAUUCUCCAAUUCAUCAACGGAUUACGUGCGUAUCAAACUCAUUUCCGUGACGGAGAAUUAUAAUUCCGGAACCUCUCGUUGAAAC